rnacentral:lncRNA from 1 species
GCGGGAAAACUUCUAAGGAUGCUGAGAGUGACUUUGUUGACCUGUUGUUUCAGAAAAAGGGCUUGUGAGAAAUCUGCGAGCAAAGAGAAGAGAUGUUCUUCUGAUUACUAUAACGGCUGGGUUUUCCCACAUUAAGCUCUUCUGAAACUAAGGACUGCCAAGGUCAUUUUAAACAUGCUUAGAAGAAACAGGUUAGGCAUUGGGAAAAUGUGAACUUGAACAUAAUUCUGAGUGGCCACAGUCAACAAUGGCCUUGGAGAAUGCAGUGUCUAGAAGGAAACAGAGGAUCCUUCUUGGAGCUUGGAAGAAGAGUCCUUUCAUAUGAAAAGAACGUGAACGGUUCAUGGGUGUGAGGAGCCACAGAAGAAUGCAAGAACAGCCACACGAUCUUUCUGCCUUGCCUCCACUCUCCUGCAGCGUUGACUCCGAGGCUCUUUCAUCAGAGACUCCGAGAACAAGAAAUGCUUUAUAUUGUCCUCAGGAGAAACCAGUUACUACAAGGAUGCCCACCUCUGACGUAUAUGAACUUCCAUCUGUCAAUCAAACUCCAAGGAGAAGCUGAAGCUAGAUAAGCCAUGGGGUUGGAGAGGAGUGUGUAUGUGACUUGGAAUCUGAUGAGCUGCAAGUGAGAGGAAAGGCAGGGUCGAGGCUGCCUCCACAUAUCUGUUGUACAGCAGAGAAGAGGUUCCUGGAGGAAGAGGGAGUUUCCUCUUGUUAUGUUGACUUUGAGGUGCCUCUGUAGACAAG